UACGGGAGUGGCAAGCGUUAUCCGGAAUUAUUGGGCGUAAAGCGUCCGCAGGCGGUCUUGUAAGUCUGUUGUUAAAGCGUGGAGCUUAACUCCAUUUCAGCAAUGGAAACUGUAAGACUAGAGUGUGGUAGGGGCAGAGGGAAUUCCCGGUGUAGCGGUGAAAUGCGUAGAUAUCGGGAAGAACACCAGUGGCGAAGGCGCUCUGCUGGGCCAUAACUGACGCUCAUGGACGAAAGCCAGGGGAGCGAAAGGGAUUAGAUACCCCUGUAGUCCUGGCCGUAAACGAUGAACACUAGGUGUCGGGGGAAUCGACCCCCUCGGUGUCGUAGCCAACGCGUUAAGUGUUCCGCCUGGGGAGUACGCACGCAAGUGUGAAACUCAAAGGAAUUGACGGGGGCCCGCACAAGCGGUGGGGUAUGUGGUUUAAUUCGAUGCAACGCGAAGAACCUUACCAGGGUUUGACAUCCUGCGAAUCUUUUGGAAACAGAAGAGUGCCUUCGGGAACGCAGUGACAGGUGGUGCAUGGCUGUCGUCAGCUCGUGUCGUGAGAUGUUGGGUUAAGUCCCGCAACGAGCGCAACCCACGUCGUUAGUUGCCAGCAUUUAGUUGGGCACUCUAGCGAGACCGCCGGUGAUAAACCGGAGGAAGGUGUGGAUGACGUCAAGUCAUCAUGCCCCUUACAUCCUGGGCUACACACGUACUACAAUGCUACGGACAAAGGGCAGCAAACUCGCGAGAGCUAGCAAAUCCCAUAAACCGUGGCUCAGUUCAGAUCGUAGGCUGCAACUCGCCUACGUGAAGGAGGAAUCGCUAGUAAUCGCAGGUCAGCAUACUGCGGUGAAUACGUUCCCGGGCCU
rnacentral:rRNA from 1 species